rnacentral:rRNA from 1 species
CCUACGGGAGGCUGCAGUGGGGAAUAUUGGGCAAUGGAGGCAACUCUGACCCAGCAACGCCGCGUGAGUGAUGAAGGUCUUCGGAUUGUAAAACUCUUUAAGUGGGGACGAAGAAAGUGACUGUACCCACAGAAUAAGCCUCGGCUAACUACGUGCCAGCAGCCGCGGUAAUACGUAGGAGGGAAGCGUUAUCCGGAAUGACUGGGGGUAAAGGGUGCGUAGGUGGUACGGCAAGGUAGUAGCGUAAUUCCGGGGCUCAACCUCGGAACUACUACUGAAACUGUUAGGCUUGAGUGCAGGAGAGGCAUAUGGAAUGCCUGGUGUAGCGGUGAAAUGCGUAGAUAUUAGGAAGAACACCGGUGGCGAAGGCGAUAUGCUGGACUGUAACUGACGCUGAGGCACGAAAGCGUGGGGAGCAAACAGGAUUAGAUACCCGAGUAGUC